UGAACGUAUUCUCUGAGUUGCUUCCAGAAGGUCUCUAGAGACAAAGUUCCUUCCAAUGCCAGCUGGUACAAUCUCAUCUUCAACUGGAGGUACUGAAUUCAGUGUGAAUGCCUAAGGUAUGUAUGAAGGGAAUAUUAGAUUUCUUUUGAUAUAAUACUCCUUUAGAAGGCAUCUACAUAUGGUGAGGUUCAUAUUUUGGCCUUCUGUUUUAGCACUCUUUUUAGUAUAAGAUGGUCCUGUACAGAUUUCAGAUGUAUGAAAGAAAUUUUACCAGUCCUUGACUGUUAAGUCCAAAAGCACAACUUGGAAGCUCUCCUGCAUAUGUGUAAGCUAUGAAGGAUAAUCCAUUUGAUAGUUUUCCCUUGAUCAAAUAGCUGCAAACCCAUCAUAGACACGUAUGCAUGUUACGGGAUAUUGAUUUAUCGUACAUAUUGCACUCUUUCCUAGAAUCUGAACAGAAUUCAUGAAACAAAAAGCAUACGUGUGGCCUACUAGAGAAACGUUUGCAUCCUCAUUAUGAGCUGCUACUGCCAUUGAAUCACUAACAAUGAGAACAUCAGAACAGUCAUCUGUAGUAUCAGCAUUUGAAUUCAUUGUUGUUUUUGAAAUGAAUGGGAGUAUCUCCUUUCUGAAGUUGACUAGUAUUAUCUGCACAUGAAGGAGUAGAAUGUGAUUUUAUUCAAUAGAACAGUAUAUUGAUGAAAUUAACAGUUUGUGAUCACUACAUCAAGAACCAGCACACCGCUUCCGUCUGCAGUCCCUAAAAGCUCAGCCCAAUAUCUUGGGAACUUCUUCUGGUUUGUUUCCGAGAGUGCUUUGAGCAGCGGUUGUGCAUGCGGUGUUCGAGCAAAAGGAAGGAGCUGUUUUUGAAGAAUGAGGUCCCCAGCCAACCUGCUUCUUAUUUGAUUGCAAAACCUUUGACCUAUGAGAAAACCCAGCUGGUAGUCAUCUUCACAGGGCCCAACUUCAAACAUCUCCAGCAGUUUACCUUCCAUGCUUGAGUUCCCAAACCUUGUGUGGCUCAAGUCUUUCGCAAUAAAGGUGCUAGUUGGAUUUGAAUAAUAUCCAGUGCGUAAUCAGGUUAUUUUAUGGUUUUUGAUUGAAUGGAACUUGGAAUGAGUGAAUAAACAGAAGAGGAGAAUGGCAUGGCAUGCUGUGAAUUGACAAAUGAGGUGGUGUGGGCCUUAGGGGGCGGGUUCUGCAGGCGAGGCAGGCAUAUUAUUCCCCAUGAAAAUCGUAAUUUGAAAAUAUCAAGUUUAUGGGCCAUUGCACCAGUUAUAAUGUACACCUAGUACAUGAAAUUAAAGGGUUCAAAAUGUAUUUCAGUCCUCUUUUGAAUUCUUUUCUCCAUCAUUUCUUGUUUGAAGGUCUCCUUAUGUGCACCGAGGUUCCUUUUCCUUGUUUGAAUGUUGUCAUGUCUUAACCCCCAUAUUCAAUAUAUCAAUCAUUUUGUUAUACAUAGAGAUUGACCUCUAAAUUCACGAAUCGAUUGCACACAAGGAAAACUAUUAAUUUUCCCCUAGAAA